AGAGUUUGAUCAUGGCUCAGAUUGAACGCUGGCGGCAGGCCUAACACAUGCAAGUCGAACGGUAACAGGAAGCAGCUUGCUGCUUCGCUGACGAGUGGCGGACGGGUGAGUAAUGUCUGGGAAGCUGCCUGAUGGAGGGGGAUAACUACUGGAAACGGUAGCUAAUACCGCAUAAUGUCGCAAGACCAAAGAGGGGGACCUUCGGGCCUCUUGCCAUCGGAUGUGCCCAGAUGGGAUUAGCUUGUUGGUGGGGUAACGGCUCACCAAGGCGACGAUCCCUAGCUGGUCUGAGAGGAUGACCAGCCACACUGGAACUGAGACACGGUCCAGACUCCUACGGGAGGCAGCAGUGGGGAAUAUUGCACAAUGGGCGCAAGCCUGAUGCAGCCAUGCCGCGUGUAUGAAGAAGGCCUUCGGGUUGUAAAGUACUUUCAGCGGGGAGGAAGGGAGUAAAGUUAAUACCUUUGCUCAUUGACGUUACCCGCAGAAGAAGCACCGGCUAACUCCGUGCCAGCAGCCGCGGUAAUACGGAGGGUGCAAGCGUUAGUCGGAAUUACUGGGCGUAAAGCGCACGCAGGCGGUUUGUUAAGUCAGAUGUGAAAUCCCCGGGCUCAACCUGGGAACUGCAUCUGAUACUGGCAAGCUUGAGUCUCGUAGAGGGGGGUAGAAUUCCAGGUGUAGCGGUGAAAUGCGUAGAGAUCUGGAGGAAUACCGGUGGCGAAGGCGGCCCCCUGGACGAAGACUGACGCUCAGGUGCGAAAGCGUGGGGAGCAAACAGGAUUAGAUACCCUGGUAGUCCACGCCGUAAACGAUGUCGACUUGGAGGUUGUGCCCUUGAGGCGUGGCUCCCGGAGCUAACGCGUUAAGUCGACCGCCUGGGGAGUACGGCCGCAAGGUUAAAACUCAAAUGAAUUGACGGGGGCCCGCACAAGCGGUGGAGUAUGUGGUUUAAUUCGAUGCAACGCGAAGAACCUUACCUGGUCUUGACAUCCACGGAAGUUUUCAGAGAUGAGAAUGUGCCUUCGGGAACCGUGAGACAGGUGCUGCAUGGCUGUCGUCAGCUCGUGUUGUGAAAUGUUGGGUUAAGUCCCGCAACGAGCGCAACCCUUAUCCUUUGUUGCCAGCGGUCCGGCCGGGAACUCAAAGGAGACUGCCAGUGAUAAACUGGAGGAAGGUGGGGAUGACGUCAAGUCAUCAUGGCCCUUACGACCAGGGCUACACACGUGCUACAAUGGCGCAUACAAAGAGAAGCGACCUCGCGAGAGCAAGCGGACCUCAUAAAGUGCGUCGUAGUCCGGAUUGGAGUCUGCAACUCGACUCCAUGAAGUCGGAAUCGCUAGUAAUCGUGGAUCAGAAUGCCACGGUGGAUACGUUCCCGGGCCUUGUACACACCGCCCGUCACACCAUGGGAGUGGGUUGCAAAAGAAGUAGGUAGCUUAACCUUCGGGAGGGCGCUUACCACUUUGUGAUUCAUGACUGGGGUGAAGUCGUAGCAAGGUAACCGUAGGGGAACCUGCGGUUG
rnacentral:rRNA from 1 species